AAGAGCGAAAAGUGGCUUUGAUUUUUUGUGAUUACAAAUAUUGUUGGGUGUGAGAGCGGGAUAUGUGCGGCCAACAUAUUUGCAUGUUGCUCUCCUGCUCUUGCAAGAAAGCAUGCGGGAUACAAGCAAAAUGUUAACCUAUAUAAUUUUUGUUGUUGCCAAUGAAAGAGCGCCCCCAUCCACCCACCCCCACACAAACAGCGAUGUCUACGCUCUGUCAGUUGAAGGUUCUUUUUAUAAUUUAAAAACUGUUUUUUUAAGGCUACGACGACGACGACGUACAGCAGCAGCAGCAGCAGGAAGCUUUUGUUGCGCGCGCUGUCGUUGCUGCUGCUGCUGCGGCUGUUGACGAUGCUUUUGAAUUUAAUGUUAAGUAUACGCAUCAGUGAACUCAAUUUAAUUAUCAUGAUUGUUUUUCUCUCUGUGUAUAUGCUGAAACAUUCAAAUUUUCCAACUUCAAACACACACUCACACACACCUCCAUACGUCCAUACCUCCAUUCAGUGAGCUGCCGUUCCCAAGCAGAUUUUCAGCGCUUAUGUAAUCGGCAGCUUUACAGAAAAAAGUAAAACAAAAUAAAAACUACGUAAAGUUGAUAAAAGCGCUGGCCAUAAUUACGUGCAUACGUUUUGUGAGCACGCCCUUCGCCCAGUUUUUAUCAGCGCCGUUAUUUAUGCGCCUCCGCCAUGACAGAUAGAACGACAGCAGCAGCAGCGGCGGCAGCAGCAGCAGCAGCAACAAUAAGCAUUUGAAGUGCAGCGUAGCGCAAAGAGAAAAUAAAACUGGCAUUUGUUGUUGUUGUUAUUGUAGAAGCCAAAAGCCCAAACGAAAAGCAAUUAAGUCGCCAUGGCUCAUUGCACAAUAAGCAAAGAAUCAAAAAUACAAAAAAAAAAAGCUAAAUAAUAAAAAAGCGAACGCACGCAGCAGCAGCACCGUCAAACAUAACUGUGUUUGCUUGGCCAGCCAUAGCGCGCACGUACGUCAACGUCGCAGCCAGCGUCAACAACAACUCUAAUCGUAUGAGACUAAAGAGAGAGUGAGCGAAAGAGUGUGGGCGCGCGAGUGGAAGCGACUAGAGAACGUUUGUUGUUGCUGUUGCUGCUGCUGCUUAAUAAAUAGGCCAAAUAUGUAAUAUCGCUAAAAUGUGUUUAUUGUAAUCUUUUUCACACACAAACACAGUCACACUAACACGCACAUGCAUGCUCUCGCACGUGCAGUGCAUCCCUCGUUACGUUGAGUUAAAAAAAAAAAAAAAUAAAAUAAGAAGAAAAGAGCGCCAAAAGGAAAGGGAGCGCAAGAGCACAAAAACGAACAGCAACGAGCAUAACAGCCAAUCCAGCCGAAUGCCAGCCGAAUGUAAAACGAACACCGCUGCUGGCGUCGCAGUCACUGUCGCUGCUGGCGCUGCCGCUGCUUUGUGGGGGCCCAGUUGGUCGAUUGCUUUGCUGCGCUCGUGUGUUGGCUGAGUCGUUGUUCUACCGUCGUGAUUGCAACACUUCUGCUUCUGCCACACACACUAUCGCCGUCGUCAUUUAGCCGUCGCCAAGUCUCGCAGUCGCAACGUUUUUCACGUUCUACAAAACCAACUACUACUACGUGUACGUCAACGUCGCAGUCGCAGUCGCCGCAGCUGUCGCAGCCGCUAGUAGCAGUAGCAACUCUAAUAUUCAAAGCGCACGCGUUACGGUACAACAACCAAAAAACAAAAGAAAAGAAAAACAAAAAGAAAUUUAAU